UACGUAGGGUGCAAGCGUUGUCCGGAAUUAUUGGGCGUAAAGAGCUCGUAGGCGGUUUGUCGCGUCUGCUGUGAAAACUCGGGGCUUAACCCCGGGCCUGCAGUGGGUACGGGCAGACUAGAGUGCGGUAGGGGAGUGCGGAAUUCCCGGUGUAGCGGUGAAAUGCGCAGAUAUCGGGAGGAACACCAGUGGCGAAGGCGGCACUCUGGGCCGGAACUGACGCUGAGGAGCGGAAAGCGUGGGGAGCGAACGAG
rnacentral:rRNA from 1 species